rnacentral:rRNA from 1 species
AUUGAACGCUGGCGGCAGGCUUAACACAUGCAAGUCGAGCGAGCGGCGGACGGGUGAGUAAUGUCUGGGAAACUGCCUGAUGGAGGGGGAUAACUACUGGAAACGGUAGCUAAUACCGCAUACCAUCAGAUGUGCCCAGAUGGGAUUAGCUAGUAGGUGGGGUAAUGGCUCACCUAGGCGACGAUCCCUAGCGGGUCUGCGAGGAUGACCGACCACACUGGAACUGAUAUACGGGCCGACCUCGUCCGGGAGGCGUCAGUGGGGAUUAGUGCACAAUGGGGGCAGGCCUGAUGCAGCCAUGCCGCGUGUGUGAAGAAGGCCUUCGGGUUGUAAAGCACUUUCAUCGAGGAGGCGUUACUCGCAGAAGAAGCACCGGCUAACUCCGUGCCAGCAGCCGCGGUAAUUC